rnacentral:rRNA from 1 species
CACGAACGCUGGCGGCAGGCUUAAUACAUGCAAGUCGAGGGGCAGCGCAGGGUAGCAAUACCUGGGCGGCGACCGGCAAACGGGUGCGGAACACGUACAGAACCUUCCUUCGAGCGGGGGAUAGCCCAGAGAAAUUUGGAUUAAUACCUCAUAGUAUAAUGGUGUGGCAUCACAUUAUUAUUAAAGAUUUAUCACUUGAAGAUGGCUGUGCGUAUGAUUAGGUAGUUGGCGGGGUAACGGCCCACCAAGCCUACGAUCAUUAACUGGUGUGAGAGCACGACCAGUCACACGGGCACUGAGACACGGGCCCGACUCCUACGGGAGGCAGCAGUAAGGAAUAUUGGUCAAUGGACGCAAGUCUGAACCAGCCAUGCCGCGUGGAGGAUGAAGGUCCUCUGGAUUGUAAACUUCUUUUAUCUGGGACGAAAAAAGGCUUUUCUAAGUCGUCUGACGGUACCAGAUGAAUAAGCACCGGCUAACUCCGUGCCAGCCGCCGCGGUAACAC